rnacentral:rRNA from 1 species
UACAGAGGGGGCAAGCGUUAUUCGGAAUUAUUGGGCGUAAAGGGCGCGUAGGCGGCCUGGCAAGUGGAAGGUGAAAUCCCUCGGCUUAACCGAGGAACUGCCCUCCAAACUGCUUGGCUUGAGUCCGGGAGAGGUGACUGGAAUUCCUGGUGUAGCGGUGAAAUGCGCAGAUAUCAGGAGGAACACCGGUGGCGAAGGCGGGUCUCUGGGCCGAUACUGACGCUGAGGAGCGAAAGCGUGGGGAGCGAACAGG